rnacentral:rRNA from 1 species
UGACUAAGCCAUGCAAGUCAUAUGUUCCUCGUGAACAUGGCAUACUGCUCAGUAACACGUGGAUAACCUGCCCUUGGGUCUGGGAUAACCCCGGGAAACUGGGGAUAAUACCGGAUAACGCAUAUGUGCUGGAAUGCUUUAUGCGUAAAACGGAUUCGUCCGCCCAAGGAUGGGUCUGCGGCCUAUCAGGUAGUAGUGGGUGUAAUGUACCUACUAGCCAACGACGGGUACGGGUUGUGAGAGCAAGAGCCCGGAGAUGGAUUCUGAGACAUGAAUCCAGGCCCUACGGGGCGCAGCAGGCGCGAAAACUUUACAAUGCGGGAAACCGUGAUAAGGGAACACCGAGUGCCAGCAUCAUAUGCUGGCUGUCCAGAUGUGUAAACUACAUCUGUUAGCAAGGGCCGGGCAAGACCGGUGCCAGCCGCCGCGGUAACACCGGCGGCCCGAGUGGUGACCGUUAUUAUUGGGUCUAAAGGGUCCGUAGCCAGUUUGGUCAGUCCUCCGGGAAAUCUGAUAGCUCAACUAUUAGACUUUCGGGGGAUACUGCCAGGCUUGGAACCGGGAGAGGUAAGAGGUACUACAGGGGUAGGAGUGAAAUCUUGUAAUCCCUGUGAGACCACCUGUGGCGAAGGCGUCUUACCAGAACGGGUUCGACGGUGAGGGACGAAAGCUGGGGGCACGAACCGGAUUAGAUACCCGGGUAGUCCCAGCCGUAAACUAUGCUCGCUAGGUGUCAGGCAUGGCGCGACCGUGUCUGGUGCCGCAGGGAAGCCGUGAAGCGAGCCACCUGGGAAGUACGGCCGCAAGGCUGAAACUUAAAGGAAUUGGCGGGGGAGCA